CGGCUGUAAUGGUCACAAUUCUGAGAGGUGCAUUGAAACCGUAGCCUCUUUCCCUUCUCUCGCCGAGACGAGGGCCCAGUUCGAAUCCGGUGGUGCUCGACCAACGCGCGCAGGUAACUCGCGAUGAAGGCGGGCCUAAGCAAUGAAGUCGACCGUCGAGGGAAGCAAUUCUGCAGACACGACUUCACCAUUGGAUGGCGGUGCUGGAUUACCCGCGUCUCGGUUUGGGAUAGGCGUUAUGGACUGAUGAAUCAACCAGGUACUCUU
rnacentral:SRP_RNA from 1 species